rnacentral:tRNA from 1 species
UCGCCCUAACUCAUUGAUAUACCUGUUAAUGCCAUUUUUCGCAGGGGUGCGACUUUUAGCAACUUUUCGCAGGGCUGCCCUCCGGAGGCCGAGGUCAGAGGUUCGAAUCCUCUAGGGCGGGCCA